rnacentral:rRNA from 1 species
AGUGAACGCUGGCGGUAGGCCUAACACAUGCAAGUCGAACGGCAGCACAGUAAGAUCUUGCUCUUACGGGUGGCGAGUGGCGGACGGGUGAGGAAUACAUCGGAAUCUACUUUUUCGGGGGGGAUAACGUAGGGAAACUUACGCUAAUACCGCAUACGACCUACGGGUGAAAGCAGGGGAUCUUCGGACCUUGCGCGAUUGAAUGAGCCGAUGUCGGAUUAGCUAGUUGGCGGGGUAAAGGCCCACCAAGGCGACGAUCCGUAGCUGGUCUGAGAGGAUGAUCAGCCACACUGGAACUGAGACACGGUCCAGACUCCUACGGGAGGCAGCAGUGGGGAAUAUUGGACAAUGGGCGCAAGCCUGACCCAGCCAUACCGCGUGGGUGAUGAAGGCCUUCGGGUCGUAAAGCCCUUUUGUUGGGAAAGAAAAGCAGCAGGUUAAUCCCCCGCUGUUCUGACGGUACCCAAAGAAUAAGCACCGGCUAACUUCGUG